ACAGGUGUGAGCCACCACACCCAGCCAAGAAUUUUAUUUAUGUGAUUAUUUUCCUAUUUAAGCAAUCCUCAAGUUCUAGUCUCCAUGUAUUAAAAGUUCACAUUUUGUAAGUGAUAUAUCAUUCCCUCAUAAUAUCUUUUGUUUAACUUAAAACAUUACAAAUAAUAUUUGAUGUAUUUCAGAUGCAGCAGGAGUUGGAAAAAAACAUAACUAGAGAACUAGAAGAAGCUGCUGCUGAAUUGGAAACUGAAUCCUAUAUAGCUUCUCCUGUAGGAUCUACUGACGAAUCCAAUCUAAAUCAAGAUCUAGUUUGGAAAGCAUCACGGGAAUAUGUACAGAUUUUAAAGAAAAAUUAUAUGAUCUGAAAGAUAAAAUUUUAUUACUGGUCUGUUUAUAUGACACUUUAAUUGUUUUUCAUUUAAUAUAUAACACAUGGAAAUCUUUAUUAAAGGAAAAUAUUUUUGUAUCAUA